ensembl:misc_RNA Metazoa_SRP Metazoan signal recognition particle RNA
GCUGGGCCUGGUGGCGCAUGCCUGUAAUCCCAGCUAUUCAGGAGGCUGAGGCAGGAGAAUCGCUUGAACUCGGGAGGUGGAGGUUGCAGUGAGCUGAGAUUGUGCCACUGUACUUCAGCCUGAGUGACAGAGCGAGACUCUGUCUCAG